CUGGCCCCUAGAGGCCUUGCGGGUGUGGCUGCUGUGUCAACUGUGUCAGCAGAGGUCCUCGAGGAAGGACGCUACGCCCACGCUCCGUGUUCUGACCUGUGGACAUCUGAAUAAUCAGUAGCCUAACUAG